GACGAACGCUGGCGGCGUGCUUAACGCAUGCAAGUCGAACGGUAAGGCCCUUCGGGGUACACGAGUGGCGAACGGGUGAGUAACACGUGGGUGAUCUGCCCUGCACUUCGGGAUAAGCCUGGGAAACUGGGUCUAAUACCGGAUAGGACCACUGCCUGCAUGGGUGGUGGGGGAAAGCUUUUGCGGUGUGGGAUGGGCCCGCGGCCUAUCAGCUUGUUGGUGGGGUGAUGGCCUACCAAGGCGACGACGGGUAGCCGGCCUGAGAGGGUGACCGGCCACCCUAGGACUGAGAUACGGCCCAGACUCCUACGGGAGGCAGCAGUGGGGAAUAUUGCACAAUGGGCGCAAGCCUGAUGCAGCGAGGCCGCGGGAGGGAUGGCGGCCUUCGGGUUGUAAACCUCUUUCAGCACCGACGAAGCGCAGGUGACGGUAGGUGCAGAAGAAGGACCGGCCAACUACGUGCCAGCCGCCGCGGUAA
rnacentral:rRNA from 1 species